rnacentral:sRNA from 1 species
UUUCAUAGUAAUUUUAUUCAUGAAUAUGGUCACUUAAACUUCAUUUCACCUUUGCCCAAGAAGAAUUUUGCUUCAGUUUAUUUAUUUAACACAAAAGAGAAUGUCUGGCUUAUUAUGCUUCAGAUGAUUGACACAUCUCUUGUUUGGAUCCAGAAAAUGUUAUUUAAAAUUGCAGAAGGGUACUAGGAGCUUGUGAAACUUCAUUCUUAUAACAGUAAAGAAGCUUGUGUUUAACUAUUCAUUUUAAUUGUAAUCUUUAAGACUUCAUAGCUUUUUUUCUUUCUUGAAAAGCAUUGCUGUUAAUAUAGGCAUUUUAAACUGUUUUAUUUAGACAAAUUGUUGUCUUAAAAUUGUAUGUACACAGUUGCUCCUAUUGCGUUUCAAAGAUUAAAGUCAAAAUAUGGCUUUACAUGUUUACAUCUUGCAAAAUUACUCCUUCAAGAGGCUUUAAAAUACCAAAUAUGAAAUACAAAUUUGUGCACGAUAGUGUGGUUAGAAUUUUAACAUACAUCAAAAGAAAUCCUUCCAGAGAGGUCAUGAGUUCAACUUUUAUAUGUUCCUGUUUAAGUUAUAGGUGCACUAUGUAAAAUGUCCCCCUUUUUGAAAAAAGUUAAGAACCUAGAAACUGAAUAGCACGAAAAACUCUUUGUGGGACUCAAUAAUUCAUCUGGAAAGGGCUUUGUGUCUGUCUUUCAUGUUUAUCACUGUUUUUAGCUUUCUUGGAGGUGGGAAGAGCUUAUAGUUAAGGGCCCAUUAUCAGGGAAAAGGAUGCAGGAAGUCCAAAAUAUUUAUAUUUGUUCGUGGCACAUGGACAGAAGAUGGUUCUCAGGAAAAGGGCUUUCUGAUUGAUUGAAGACAUGCUGGCGUAUUUUAAUAGCUUCUUCUGUCCAAGAGAUAGCAUCAUCUUUGUCCUUAUCGCUGCUCUGAAACUUACUUUAAACAUUCUCCCAUGCUCCUCCAAUUAGAUGCUUCACUCUCUUGGCUUCCUGUGUCCUCGCUGCAACUCAUCUCAUUUGUUUGCAUUCUCAUCUUUGUCAGCAGGUUGGGUGAAGAAGAGGCAUAUAACAGAUAAUUGAAGGGACAUGCUUUGCAGCUUCAAAUUCAUCUGCAUGGCAUCCAGCCACAGCCACACGGUGAUGGCGAUAAAAUGUGGAUGUGGGAAACAUCAGCUUCCACUUUGCAAAAGCUUAAGAGCCGGCAAUUGAUUGAAUGGAAUGAGAAGAUGAAGAGAAUUAGAAGUGAUAUUCCUAAGGUGUUCUGCAGACCAACACACCAGACAGAAGACAUGGAUUAAGGUUACUGAAGGCAGAUUACUAACGUGGCCUUGAAGGGGGCGGGGGCGGUGGAAUGCACUCGAUGGAAUGUCUGUUGCUUUCUUUUCUACAAAAGAAGAAAGAAUGAAAAAAAAGAGAGAAAAGAAAAAGAAACAACACACACACAGCAUCGGAUGAAUUUUAGAGUUGCUGACAAUUCAGAAACAUGAAGGAACAAGGAGAGAAAAAAAGUGGACAAUGUCCUGGACCAAAGUUCAAGGUCAACUCAAUUUCGAGAAGGAAUGUGCAUCUCAGGGCUACUGAGCAGAGCCUUCAAUGCCAAUUUAAUGCAAGUACUCUUCAUCCCGGAACACUAGAAGGCCAGACAUAAAGCUUUGACUUCAAGCCACACACAAAACAUGUGAUUCCAUAUGGGCUUUUGCUGCAUGGUAGCUGUUGAAGGCUUACGUGUGCCAGUUAAAGACAGCUUGAAGGUAACCACUUGAAAGUCAGCAUCAAACAAAG